rnacentral:rRNA from 1 species
UACGUAGGGCGCGAGCGUUGUCCGGAAUUAUUGGGCGUAAAGAGCUCGUAGGCGGUGUGUCACGUCGUUCGUGAAAACCUGCAGCUUAACUGUGGGCGUGCGGUCGAUACGGGCAUCACUGGAGUUCGGCAGGGGAGACUGGAAUUCCUGGUGUAGCGGUGGAAUGCGCAGAUAUCAGGAGGAACACCGAUGGCGAAGGCAGGUCUCUGGGCCGCAACUGACGCUGAGGAGCGAAAGCAUGGGGAGCGAACAGG